UAGCGUUCUUUCUCCGUGGGUACCGAGCAUCCCGCAGCGCCGGGGAGGCCCUCGCACACUCGGAACAGGCCGGAAGUGCGGGAGGGUCAGCAGUCGCAUGCUGUCUGGUUCGCCCUGGCAGCCCGCGGGCGGGCGCAGGGGGACCUCAGGUGGGGUCCUGCCGCGAGAGGGGCGGCAGAGGCUCCCCGGGCCCUCACGUCUAACCCGUCCACGCUGCUGCGCGCGAGGAGACAGGACCCGAGGCGAAGCCCGAAGGCGCCGGUCCCAGCGCAGGGCCAGGGCGGCGCAGUAGUCCAGGGCCUCCGAGGCUAGCCGGCGGCCGACGAAGGAUCUUCCACUAUUCGAGUCCCGGAGCGCUGGUUGAAGGAGCGAGAGUAUGUUAAAAAAAAAAAUGCCUCCGAGGAGGCCCAGGCGACGUGGCCGGCACUGCGAGCCCACCCUGGCUACGAUCUUCGGCUCUCGGCUGGGCCCCGAAGCAGCGGGAGUCCUCUACCUGCUCAGCCUUCGUUCAUUACCUGUGGAUACAGCCACGGUCAGCAGAUGAGGAGGUGCAGCUGUCCAAAGAGUAAACAGGCUGCAGUUGGAAAGACUCAGCCCAUCAGAGCAGAUACAAUGGAUGGGAAUCCUUCGUGGAAUUAUUAAAUAGGAGCUACGACUGCUUCAGGAAGAAUUUUGAGUAGCCCAUAGUACAUGGUUAAUUUCUUGUGUGAGACUCAUCAAAAGACUGGAAGUCAGAUUGACUUUAUAUUUAUUCUUGAAAAUCCAUCAAAGAUAUUUUUGCACUUGAAAUGCCAAUAAAAAACAAU